UUUGUGAACCAGCAGUUUCAAGAGGAAAAGUUAAAUAAAUUGCAGAAGUUACUUAUUCUUUUAAGAGGUCUGCCUGGUUCUGGGAAAACAACAUUGUCUCGAAUUCUGCUUGGUCAGAAUCGUGAUGGCAUUGUGUUCAGCACUGAUGACUAUUUUCACCAUCAAGAUGGGUACAGGUAUAAUGUUAAUCAACUUGGUGAUGCCCAUGACUGGAACCAGAACAGAGCAAAACAAGCUAUCGAUCAGGGAAGAUCUCCAGUUAUAAUAGAUAACACUAAUAUACAAGCUUGGGAAAUGAAGCCAUAUGUGGAAGUGGAGGAAUAAACAUGGUGUGUCUCGAAAGAAGAUUGCUCAGAUGUUGGAUCGUUAUGAAUAUCAAAUGUCCAUUUCUAUUGUAAUGAAUUCAGUGGAACCAUCACACAAAAGCACACAAAGACCUCCUCC
rnacentral:ncRNA from 3 species